rnacentral:rRNA from 1 species
UGGGGAAUAUUGGACAAUGGGGGCAACCCUGAUCCAGCAAUGCCGCGUGUGUGAAGAAGGUCUUCGGAUUGUAAAGCACUUUCGACGGGGACGAUGAUGACGGUACCCGUAGAAGAAGCCCCGGCUAACUUCGUGCCAGCAGCCGCGGUAAUACGAAGGGGGCUAGCGUUGCUCGGAAUGACUGGGCGUAAAGGGCGUGUAGGCGGUUUACACAGUCAGAUGUGAAAUCCCCGGGCUUAACCUGGGAGCUGCAUUUGAUACGUGUAGACUAGAGUGUGAGAGAGGGUUGUGGAAUUCCCAGUGUAGAGGUGAAAUUCGUAGAUAUUGGGAAGAACACCGGUGGCGAAGGCGGCAACCUGGCUCAUGACUGACGCUGAGGCGCGAAAGCGUGGGGAGCAAACAGGAUUAGAUACCCUGGUAGUCCACGCUGUAAACGAUGUGUGCUAGAUGUUGGGUAACUUUGUUAUUCAGUGUCGCAG